ensembl:snoRNA
UCUUCGUGAUGAGCUCUGCUUUGUGCCGUCGUGUCUGGGCCACUGAUGCUCCGUGAUGGUGUUGAGCGUCUGACGGGGA